rnacentral:RNase_P_RNA from 1 species
GAAGCAGGCCGCCUUAUCGCUGUUCCGAUAUCUAUCGGGAUGGAGGAAAGUCCGGACACCAUAGGGAAGCAUAGCGGCUAACGGCCGUCGCUGUGUAGCACGCGCUACAUGGUAGGACAAGUGCAGCAGAAAGGAUGUACAGGUAAUGCUGUAGUGAAAUCAGGUAAACUCUAUGCGGUGAAAUGCCACGUAUACCUGCGUUUAAGGGUUCCCGCCCAAUGCAGGAGGGUGGGCAGAUAGAGCGUUUCGGUAACGGAAAGCCCAGAUAAAUGAUAAGGUCGAGGAAUUAUUCCUCGAACAGAAUCCGGCUUAUAGGCCUGCUAUUUUU